UACGUAGGGGGCAAGCGUUGUCCGGAAUCAUUGGGCGUAAAGCGCGUGUAGGCGGCCCGGUAAGUCCGCUGUGAAAGUCGGGGGCUCAACCCUCGGAUGCCGGUGGAUACUGUCGGGCUAGAGUGCGGGAGAGGCGAGUGGAAUUCCCGGUGUAGCGGUGAAAUGCGCAGAUAUCAGGAGGAACACCAGCGGCGAAGGCGGCGCUCUGGGCCGGAACUGACGCUGAGGAGCGAAAGCGUGGGUAGCAAACAGG
rnacentral:rRNA from 1 species